GGCUUUUCUGGUUUCUGUAGGUGACCUGCGGAGGAUCAUUC
rnacentral:rRNA from 1 species